GACGAACCGUGCGAACGUUAUUCGGAAUCAUUGGGCUUAAAGGGCGCGUAGGCGGCGGUGUAAGUUGGAAGUGAAAUCCCAUCGGCUCAACCGUGGAAUUGCUCCCAGUACUGCACUGCUCGAGGGGGAUAGGGGUCUGCGGAACUACCGGUGGAGCGGUGAAAUGUGUUGAUAUCGGUGGGGACGCCAGUGGCGAAAGCGGCAGACUUGACCCUUCCUGACGCUGCAGCGCGAAAGCUAGGGGAGCAAACGGG
rnacentral:rRNA from 1 species